rnacentral:lncRNA from 1 species
CGUCCCACAUGUUUCAUCAAGUGUCAGAUAAUACAGAACCUACUUCGCCAAAAUGAAGAAAAUUGAGGUCAGUAUAAAUUCCAAACACACCAUCAAACCAUCAUCUUCCUCUACACCACUACAGCCUUACAAGCUUACCCUCCUGGACCAGCUCACUCCUCCAACGUAUGUCCCUAUGGUAUUCUUCUACCCCAUUACUGACCAUGUCUUCAAUCUUCCUCAAACCCUAGCAGACUUAAGACAAGCCCUUUCCGAGACUCUCACUUUGUACUAUCCACUCUCUGGAAGGGUCAAAAACAACCUAUACAUCGAUGAUUUUGAAGAGGGUAUCCCAUACCUUGAGGCUCGAGUGAAUUGUGACAUGACUGAUUUUCUAAGGCUUCGGAAAAUCGAGUGCCUAAAUGAGUUUGUUCCAAUAAAAACAUUUAGUAUGGAAGCAAUAUCUGAUGAGCGUUACCCCUUGCUUGGAGUUCAAGUCAACAUUUUGGACUCUGGAAUAGCAAUCGGUGUCUUCAUCUCUCACAAGCUCAUCGAUGGAAGAACGGCAUACUGUUUUCUCAAGUCCUGGGGUGCUGUUUUUCGAGGGUGUCGUGAAGAUGUCAUACAUCCUAGUCUCUCUGAAGCAGCAUUGCUUUUCCCACCGAGAGAUGACUUGCCUGAAAAGUAUGCCGGUCAGAUGGAAGGGUUAUGGUUUGCCGGAAAGAAUGUUGCUACAAGGAGAUUUGUAUUUGGUGCGAAAGUCAUAUCUUCAAUUCAAGAUGAAGCGAAGAGCGAGUCCGUGCCCAAGCCAUCACGAGUUCAGGCCGUCACUGGUUUUCUCUGGAAACAUCUAAUCGCUGCUUCUCGGGCACUAACAUCAGGUAAAAUCAGUUUAUCAACAAGCCAAAUAAUAAAGCCUAAUGUAUUUGGGGUACUUAUUUAUAUAUUUUUAUUACGUAUAUCUAGUGUACUGUGUACAUAGCUCAAAGAAUGAGAAAAUAUAUGAACUUGCAGGUACUACUUCAACAAAACUUUCUAUAGCAGCCCAGGCAGUGAACAUAAGAUCACGGAUGAACAUGGAGACGGUGUUGGAUAAUGCCACUGGAAACUUGAUGUGGUGGGCACCGGCCAUACUACAGCCAAGUCAUACAACACCAGAGAUUAGUGAUCUUAAGCUGUGUGACUUGGUUAACUUGCUCAAUGGAUCUGUCAAACAAUGUAACGGUGAUUACUUUGAGACUUUCAAGGGUAAAGAGGGAUAUGGAAGAAUGUGUGAGUAUCUAGAUUUUCAGAGGACUAUGAGUUCUAUGGAACCAGCACCAGAGAUUUAUUUAUUCUCGAGCUGGACUAAUUUUUUCAAUGCACUUGAUUUUGGAUGGGGGAGGACAUCAUGGAUUGGAGUUACGGGAAAAAUUGAAUCUGCAUUUUGCAAUUCCACAAUGUUGGUUCCAACACAAUGCGAUAAUGGAAUUGAAGCAUGGGUGAAUCUAGAAGAAGAGAAAAUGGCUAUGCUAGAACAAGAUCCCCAGUUUCUAGCGGUAGCAUCUCCAAACCCCCCAAUUUCAAGGUGUUGAUUAAAAAAGAUUAUGUGGCUCGUGCAAUGUUUCGAUUUUGUAGUGAAUAAGGUUUAAAUUAGUUCACCAGCCAAUCAAUAAGAUGCAAGUAUGAUAGACUCUGUCUACGUAUGUUAUCCGAAUGUGUUUUCGAUAUGCUUGUAACCAAUAUAGCUCUUGUUUGUAAUAAUGCUCUGUUAAGCUUCUAUCUAUAAAGUUAUUUCUCUUGAUUAAAGAAAAAACUAUACAAGUUUUGUUAAGCUUUAUUCUAUUUUUAAGAUAGGAUGUAUGUAGUACCUAUAAAGAUGGUUCACCUAUUAUUAUUUUCAAAUACAUGAUUAUCCGGUACAAUUACGUAGAAUAUUUCUAUAGCUAAAAAAAUGUAAUUUUGAUCCGUGACAACAUGAUUAAAAAAUUACAUAUUCUGAUACAUUUGUUCUCUAACGACAAGCAUGGCCAUAAUGCCUCACCUGAUCAUCUAUGUGAUGGGGUAGUGUCCUUUCUUUUUAAGAGAAGGUAGGCACCUAAUGUGAAGGCCUCUACGAGAGACUAAUAUUGUCUGAUCUUCUUUUGUUCAUCAAAUUAAAGAAACGAAAAUGGCCACAAUGCCUCACUAUUGAUAGAAGAUAGAACCAUACAAUAAUUUGGAACAUAUGCAUGGAGACAAGGAAAUAUAACACAAUAAAACCAUUAUAAUUUCACUUUAUGUGGGAAACUUGGCCAAAACCGAAUCACAUCCACGUUGGCAACAAAAAGUGACUGGAAAAAAAGAGCCCCCAAAAAGCUAAAACACUAUAAAAACCAGAAAACUUGAAUAAGCGAAAAACCAAAAGUAUGACAUUUACACACACACUCUAUCUCUCUCUCAAAGUCUGAAAACUUGCGCAAUAAGGUACCUAGCUCUCUGGUCUUUUCUUUCUAAUGCAUAUAAGUCCCUGUAAAUUUUAUGGCUUUUGGAAUGAUGAUUUUAUGCUUGUGGAUCUCAGAUGGGUUUGUUUUGUUUUGGGAUUUUUAUAAAUGAAUCCAUUGAAAAUGUUGAAAGCUUAUGCCUUUGUUCCUUGGUUCACUGUUCUGGUUUUGUAAAUUGUGUGUACGAGAGUUGAAAUGUUGGUUUUGGUAAAGAGAAAUGUUCUAUAACCAUGUAAGUUAUCUUCUAAAGUUGUUCGAGUACUGCAUAGGAAAUAACGACCUAAACUGCUAGAUGCUCUGAGAAACUUAAUUAUCCGAUUCGUUGUGAUAAAUUAAUAGAACCAUCAAUAGCCGUGAUAGUCCCUUAAUAUUUGGUGGCUAAUUAGCAAUGCAUUCAUGGUAGUUGCAUGUGCUUAUUUUGUGCAGUAUUCUAAUUCUAUCACUUGCAAAAUCGUUGUGGAAGGUCAAGAGGAGAAAACUGAAAAUGGGGCAGCAUGCAUCUCAUUUUAUUUUUUUAUGCAAUAGAGCCCUAUAUAUAAAAUAAAUAAUGUAUCUAUAACCUUCUCUAAUUAAUUUACUUAGUAAUUGACGCAAUUUGGCCGAACUGUUUCUAAACACACUAAGCUUCAGUUCUAUAUAUACCACGUACCACAUGUAUGAAUUCAUCAAGUGUCUGAUAAUACUAAACCUACUUCGACAAAAUGGAGAAAAUUGAGGUCAGUAUAAUUUCCAAACACACCAUCAAACCAUCAGCUUCCACUCCACGACUUCAGCCUUACAAGCUUACCCUCCUGGACCAGCUCACUCCUGCAAUGUAUGUCCCCAUGGUAUUCUUCUACCCCAUUACUGAUCCUGUCUUCAAUCUUCCUCAAACCCUAGCUGACUUAAGACAAGCCCUUUCCGAGACUCUCACUUUGUACUAUCCACUCUCUGGAAGGGUAAAAAACAACCUAUACAUCGAUGAUUUUGAAGAGGGUGUCCCAUACCUUGAGGCUCGAGUGAAUUGUGACAUAACUGAUUUCCUAAUGCUUCGGAAAAUCGAGUGC